AGGGGCCGGCGCGUCCCAGACCCACGGCCAGGAGGGCGACGCGUCUGCGCUGCAGGGAGGCGGGGGCCAGAGAGGCCAGCGGCCCCCAGCGGCGUGCGAACGAGGACCCGCCAGGUUAGACCCACCAGGGUGUCCACUCCCAGCGUGAACAUCAUCAGGAAGAACAGGACCGACCAGAAGGCAGAGCCAGGCAGCAGAGCAAGGGCUUCUGGGUAGGCCACAAAGGCAAGUCCAGGACCUGGCGGGAGGAGGAGAAAUGGAGAACAGCCUCCCUCAGCAGCCCAGCCCAGCACGUUCUCUCCUGGCCACCAUGUGUCCACCCCAGUGUCAGGAUAAGGCCUUUGUCUGCAGCCGUAUUGUAAGGCCUAAAGCCUUCGUCUGCUAUCACCAGAUAAAGAAACCGAUCUUACGACGGUUAAAGAAAACGUAGUUUGAUAGCGUCCUGCCUGGCAGGAACUCACUUUUCAAUAGCUGGGCUAUGAAAUCAUCAUUUCCGUUGUUUUGUCAUUACGGUCCCCAGUUCCCUAUUGUUUAUCUGUCUGGUUCGUUCAUUAUUUCUGUCUGGUACAUAAUUAAUUUUGCUAGGUAUAAUUAAUGAAGGUGGUGGGGUAGGAUUGAUUAGAGAAUUUUGUUAGACUGUGUUAGGAUUGGUUAGUAAAAUUUUAGUGUAACGAUUGGUUAAGGUAGAGCUAAACAGGACUCAGAUUUCACUCUAUCAACUGGGGUCCAAAAGGAAGUUGUUUGGGAGCCAACUCCAGGACAUGGCCCCAAAGAUCAGAGCGGCCAGACCUCAACACCCUGCCAAUGACACCGAGCAGAAACUGGAGUCCCCCAGAUGGACCUGCUCCUGACUGGCCAUCCAGAAAAGUUCGUCUAUCCUAUUGGGAGUGCUGAGCACUGCUCUGGGCCCAAGGGGGCAGAC